rnacentral:rRNA from 1 species
UAAAAAGCUUCAAACUGGGAUUAGAUACCCCACUAUGCACAGCCAUAAACUUUGAUAGAAAACUACAAAUUCUAUCCGCCCGGGAACUACGAGCAUAAGCUUAAAACCCAAAGGACUUGGCGGUGCUUUAGACCCCCCCUAGAGGAGCCUGUUCUAGAACCGAUAACCCCCGUUAGACCUCACCUUUUCUUGUCUAUCCCGCCUAUAUACCGCCGUCGUCAGCUUACCCUGUGAAGGAUUAAUAGUAAGCAAAACUGGUAAAACCCAAAACGCCAGGUCGAGGUGUAGCAUACGAAAAGGAAAGAAAUGGGCUACAUUUCCUUCCCUCAGGAAACACGAAUUGUGCUAUGAAAUAACACAUGAAGGUGGAUUUAGCAGUAAGCAGAAAACAGAGAGUUCCGCUGAAACCGGCCCUGAAGCGCGCACACACCGCCCGUCACCCUCUGCAGUCAA